rnacentral:rRNA from 1 species
GAGUUUGAUCGUGGCUCAGGAUGAACGCUGGCGGCGUGCCUAAUACAUGCAAGUCGAGCGAACGGACGAGAAGCUUGCUUCUCUGAUGUUAGCGGCGGACGGGUGAGUAACACGUGGGUAACCUACCUAUAAGACUGGGAUAACUCCGGGAAACCGGGGCUAAUACCGGAUAACACAUGAAACCGCAUGGUUUCAUGAUGAAAGACGGUCUUGCUGUCACUUAUAGAUGGAUCCGCGCUGCAUUAGCUAGUUGGUAAGGUAACGGCUUACCAAGGCAACGAUGCAUAGCCGACCUGAGAGGGUGAUCGGCCACACUGGAACUGAGACACGGUCCAGACUCCUACGGGAGGCAGCAGUAGGGAAUCUUCCGCAAUGGGCGAAAGCCUGACGGAGCAACGCCGCGUGAGUGAUGAAGGUCUUCGGAUCGUAAAACUCUGUUAUUAGGGAGAACAUAUGUGUAAGUAACUGUGCACAUCUUGACGGUACCUAAUCAGAAAGCCACGGCUAACUACG